UGCAGUGUAGAAGGAAGGGCUGCUGUGCUUGGCGAGUCUGUCAUUUUCAUACUGCUCCUGCCUUCUUACAG
ensembl:miRNA Mir7038 microRNA 7038